CCCCCAUGCUGCAAUUUUUUUUUUUUUUUUACUGAAUGGCUUUCAUACAAAUUUAUUCUCUAUUUCCCCUUUUGAGAUGCAGUUUAAUGUACCACCCUCCCUCCUUCUCCUAAUCACAUAUUCAUGGAUUAGAAAGAAACUUUCUAAAACAAAAGCAGCUGCAGCAAAUGCCAGAUAAGCUGAAAACAGCAAGUGGAUUGUUCCAGACAUGGUUUAUAACCCAAAAAUCCCAUCAGAAAACCCAGCCUGAAGGGUCACUGGGCUUUGGAGAUAAAAGUGAGGGUGAGCAGCAGCACAGACAUGCCAAACACUUUAAGUGAAAUAGUUUAUUUUGUGGAAAAUAUCCCCCAAUUGGAUCAUCAUAAUCUGCAAACUCCUGGCAGCGGAUUCAGCAUUAAAAUAGGAAGAUGAAAGUCAUAACAAGGCCAGACCUUUCAUUUAGAAAUUUUUGCAGCUAAGCAAAUCUAUUUUGACUUUUGAGUUAUUUUAGAAGCAAUUUUAAAGCUCAACUCUUAGGGCCACUUCAAAAUUGUUAAUUCAAGUAGAACAAAGUAGUGGGGUUAUUUAUUCUCUGUGUUUUGGGAGCAACUGGGCUGGAUUUGCACAGAAAAUUGGGUCAAAAAGGCUUUGUUUCAUACAUAUUCCAGCUGUACCAUGCAGAGGGAAGAGAUGCCCAGUUUCCCAGCUUUGAUGUCCCUCAGCUUGGCAGGACCAGCCUGUGCUGCCCUGGAGAAAUUGAGGAAAGGUGACCCCAGCUCCUGCAAUAUUUGUCUGACACUUCUCCCACCUGUUAAUCUGCUUAUCCACCACCGAGCACUUGAAAGCGCUGCAGCAGCAAAGUCUCACCUGAAAAAAAUCAACAAACAAGCAAGUUUCGGUUAAAUAAACCCCAAAAUAUUUACCUGGGGUGCAGCAGCUGUGAGGAGAGCAGGACCAACCUCUGAUGACGGAGCUGGUGAUGAUGGUGGGAGCAGUCCCAGCGAUGAAGGGGAAUUUAGGAAGUGACUCCAGCUUGUGAUGCAGCUCCACGGAUAGGUGAUGCUUUUUGAAAUCUUCUUUUUGCUUUUAGAUAAUCCAGGGGGAUCCUUUGGGAUGUUACAUCCCUGGGACAGGAUUGCUGUGGGCUGAGAUGUUGAAAGGUGAGCAGGCACCAUCCCCAUGAGUCAGGCACCUUGAAAAAAAGGGAAUUUCUUGUUCCUUUCUGCCAGGGCACCUCCAGGG
rnacentral:lncRNA from 1 species